UGCUGCCAUGACGUGCCUCUAACUGGAACUUAGCCUGAUUGAGAAAAAAAGCCCCUCCAUCCAUGAGAAUGAGGUACUGUUUUUUCAUCACUUCAUGGGUUCUCGUAGCAGUAUAACUUUGUGAUUUUCUAGCUGACUGCUGCCAUGACGUGCCUCUAACUGGAACUUAGCCUGAUUGAGAAAAAAAGCCCCUCCAUCCAUGAGAAUGAGUUGACUGCUGCCAUGAUGUGCCUCUAACUGGAACUUAGCCUGAUUGAGAAAAAAAAAACCCUCCAUCCAUGAGAAUGAGGUACUGUUCUUUCAUCACUUCAUGGGUUCUCGUAGCAGUAUAACUUUGUGAUUUUCUCGCUGACUGCUGCCAUGACGUGCCUCUAACUGGAACUUAGCCUGAUUGAGAAAAAAAGCCCCUGCAUCCAUGAGAAUGAGGUACUGUUCUUUCAUCACUUCAUGGGUUCUCGUAGCAGUAUAACUUUGGGUAGUUUCAUUUUAAAUCGAACAACGUGUGAAAGUCGUAUUUUUUAAUUCGCCCAGAAAAAAUAUAUGUUAGAGGACAGCUCAAACGGCGCAAAUCGCGCCACGUGCGACGCUCCCGCGUGGAGUAGUUUCUGCGCGGGAGAGGAGGAAAGUCUGAGGCUGCUUGAGCGCGCUUUCUUCUGGACCGACUUUGACGGGAUCUAGCACCGCUGAUUUUUUGCGUCGGGGCUAGAGGUUUUUUGUGACUAUAGGCUGUACCAUAGACACUGUCGACAGCCACCCACAGAACUCUGAGUGUCACAAAAAAAAUGCAACAAUACAUACAUACCAAAUGACUGUUGUAUGACGACCGCUUCCUUUUCAAAAUUGGCCAUAAACACGUUAAACUUUGCGAAAACCGCCAGGUUUAAGGUGUACUAUGGCAAAAACUACUGCAUUGACUGCUUUGAAAACCAGCAGGCUUGUAGAAUGGGUCCUCGUGAACGGCCACAAGGCUUUGAAGAAUUCCAGCUGUUAUGGAAAGUAUGUUUAAAAAAUCGCAAAAUCGCAAGAAAAAGCGUCCAUAGUCGGGGCGUUUUAGGGUACUAAAAGUUGAAAUUUCCCCGAAAUUCUUCCUUCAGCGCAUUUUCCAAACCCAGUCGUCUGUUUCAGCACCAUAAUUAUGCGUGUAACGCGAGCGAUGCAGCCGUCCGAUUAUUUCAAGCGUACUAUGGUUUUGGUGCUUACCGAAAACUUUGACCCCGCGUUAAAUGACAUGGGCUCAACAUUCCCCAGUAAAACUUUGCGAAAUGUCUAUUAACACCAUAGUGUAUGCACGAUAAUUUUUUGGUCCAGAAGUGCGGGGGGUCGAGCAGGACCUUUGGAUCAUUUGGCGUGGAAUGACCCAUUAGGAAGGCAGAACUACGGCCACAGGGGACUGAAAGUUACACCACCUGAGAAUACAAAUUUGUGGCCGCGUGGUUGCAGCCGUCUCUUAGCUUGGGCGCAAUAAGUGAUAGUUCCGAAGCUGUGCAUGUUAUCUUUAAUUAGUUUUAUGCCCCGUAGCGUUAUUUCGGAACCACGACGAGUACUACAAAGCCCUUAAGACCGCUGUGAUGACAGUAUGUUGCCUCUCAAGUAUAACCCGUUCGCCCUCCACGAGCUGUGUCAUUGCCACCGUGGGAAUCAAAAUUUCCGACAGAAAAACGCACAACUAAAAUCCCUCGUUUCCGGUAGCCGUAGGCACCUUAAACCAUCGGUGUGAUCUUCAGUAAUUCUUUUGGCAUCCAUGCGCUUGAACCCAGUCACUUUAUAUCAUGUGAAAGGCCAUGUCUAAAGCUAUCGGAUGAUGCUAAUCCAAUGGUGGCAGCCAUCACCUGCAGGGGUCUCGCAAUGGGCACAUUUUACGUUUUUCGAAACUUCCACAACGUUCUUUUACCAAUGAAAAGGAUGUGACUUUCACACUGCCUGGGGGACUGGCGGCAACCUGAAACAAAAGCUACGAUGUUACCAGUGGAUAAAGAUCUUUACGAAGCGCUUCGUUUCCUCUCACUGCUUUCUCGGUAUGUUCGUCGGACUGGGACUUCUCAUCAAUGGCGCACAGGCAACUCAUGUACUCUCCCACGGUUUGAAUGAGCCUGACAGAACUGGGACACCAUUGGGUAAACGUAAAGUGAUGCUCUGGGGACACUACAACAAGCUCACGCAGUGUGGUCAUUGAUCUCUCUGUCAGCGGGAGACCUGUAGCAAAGAAGAGGUUGAAGGUCGCCUGCUCGUGGACCCUGCCUGACAAAAAAAAAUGGCUGCGCAUCUCUCAGGUAAAAAUAAAAGAUUGUCUCACUUGGCGUCUAAAGUAGAGACAUGACGGCACCUUUUCAAAAAUAAUAAAGGAAAUCGAAGAUGGCAUUUUUGGGAAAAUUGAGAUGCAACAUUGGCAAUUUUCGCCUACCAUGUGCGAUUCUCAAGCUAAUAACACAGAAACCACUGGGCUGAGUAAAAUGAACUGUAUACAGCACGAAAGUUCUUUCAACGUCCUAUCGAAUGGCACUAAGCUCGAUGUCCUCAGACGUUCCAUCAUGAAGCAAAUUGGUAACAAAGUUUGGCCUUUUUGAACGUUUACGCCAAGUUUUGCAUUUUUUAACAGAAAAUCUGUGGACCUCAGAGUUCUGUGGGUGGCUGUCGACAUUGUCUAUGGUCCAGCCUAUAAUCACAAAAAACCUCCAGUCCCUAGGCAAAAAAAUCAGCGGUGCUAGAUGAAGAUGCUACUGUCCUUGGAAUAGCUGAGAUACAUUUGCCUUGGCAAUUUUUCUGGUGGCCCGGUUCCAGCAUGGUGUGCCAACAACCACGCCAUACACUGUAUGCAACGGGAUAGGAUGACAAAAGCGAAGGAUAAGUAGCCUAUAUGAAGUCCGUGGCCUAUGGCAUGGCCACACGGCUGCGAACAGGUGUGUCACAUGACACACGUGCAUUUCCUAACAUACUUCUCUUUCUUUUUGGCAGGGCAUUCAUGAGUGCAGAAGUAAUAUGCAGAUGCAGCUGUUGAAAGUCGUAUUUAUUCUGCCUUUGUAGCUGUGCAAAUCUACAUAGGAAUUGGGCAGCUAUUAAGGAAACCAUAAAAAAAUUUAUAAUUAGAAAUAGAGAAAAAGUUGCAAAGAUGAAUGUGCACAGAGAAGGUGUACAAUGAUGACAGGGAUGCGUCUGAAGAAAAGCCUAUGUUGAUGUCACUGGCAUGUCCCAACCUGAGGCUCUUCUUAUACUAAUAAAGAAGUCAUGGACUUCUACGUGGGUACUCCAGUAGAGCUUAUGGACUAGGACACGUUUAUAGCACACAUCUAUGUACUGAAAAGGAAAACAUCAUGCAUUCAUUUGUUACUGAUCGGUGGGAAGUGAAACUAUAGCAAACUGAUAUACAUCUUGUGUCUGUUUCCUGUUAUCGUUCAUGUGUUCUUUCAAUAAAGCAAUGUUUACAUUCUUC